rnacentral:sRNA from 1 species
CUUUUUAAGACAAAAGCCAAGUCUUCGAAACCUUAUGAGAUGUGAUAGGGUUACAAGGGUAAAACAGGAACUCAGAAUAAAAAUAAGUUAAUCGAGAAAGCUCCAAAUAAACACCACUCGUCCGCCUCUCUGUCUCUCACCAAAAUAAAAAACUCAAUCUCUCUCUCUCUCUCUCCAUCGAGAAACACUAAACUGCUAUAAUCAUUACCUCUCUUCGAUUUCUCAAACCCUAUCUGGCUCUCUACCCAUAUGCUUCAGAUCCGCAUUAAAAAAGCUAAGUUUUUUGUUAUGUCCUUCUUUCUUAUUUGAUCAGUUUGUUCUUGUUUCACGAUUUUAACCUGAGAUUUUUUAUAUAUUUUCUCCAGAUCUGCUAUCCGCAGUCAUCUGUUCAUAGGAAAAGAUCUGGCUUUACUUUUAGAGAUUAUCUCAGAUCCAGCCUUUUACCCAAUUGAAGUGUGCAAAAGUAAGUACCCCCCCACCUCUGUUCCUCACGGUUUUUCUGCAAAGGACCCACCCUCCUUGAACUUCAGCGUCCAUCACAAUGUCCCCAUCAUCAUCAAACCUGUACAAGCCAGUGGCGAUCCUAACAUUGUAGAAGUUGAUAGCAUUUUUGCAAGUGGAGGGAGCACUUGUGUUUCUCCACGUAUUGCUGUCUUGAUUAAAGCGGUUGUCAACUCUGUAAAGUCCCUCUACUUCAAUAGGUAUGGUAAAUGAGUUUGAUUCUGGGAAUAGGUUGUGGUUGUUAUAAAGAAUGCUCCACUCAGCAGCGUUGAGCCAGCGCUGUGUUGAUGUUUGAAGCACAGCUGCUACAUCUGUCAAAAAUAGCAACCAAACAUAUGAGAUUUAUAUAUAUAUUAUAAGCAACUGUUUUAUUCUGAAAUUUUUAAAUCUUGCCUUAAUUGUACAAAUUCCAUAGAUCUAGGAGACUAUUCUAAGAUUCCAUAGAUCUGUAACACUGUGCUACGAUUUCUACACUGUUCUAAGAUUCCAUAGAUCUGUAACACUGUACUACGAUUUCUACACUGUUCUAAGAUUCCAUAGAUCAUAACUUUUCUAAGAUUUCUACACUGUUACCAAUUCCAUAGAUUGUAGCCUCGAUUUCCCAAAUUCACAGAUCUACUCUAAUUUUAAAUACAUUCCUCCAAUUCCCAAACUCACCAAUGUUUCUUGAUACUUUCAAUUUCAAUUUCUUUAUUACCCCAAAUUCGCUACCCCUAUAUCUUGCUUCUGAGAAUAUAAUCGUUUUUUAUUACCUUCAUUUCCUUCAGGUAGGUCCAUAUGCUGAAGAUUUAUCGCAGGAGCGACCACUACGGGAGCCGCCAUUGGAGAUUCUCUGUGAGAGAGAGAGAGAGAAAUAGUUUGAGAAUCAAUCUUCUGUAUUUUAUUGUGUAGAUCAAGUUAUUUAGUAUAUGCUAGUACUUAUGGUUAAAAUAGACUAUUAUUAAAAUUCAAAAGUAAUAAAGCCAACGAGUACACUAAACUCAGAUUAUAUUUUCCAAAACUAUUGCUAAAGAAUAUCAAUACGUACACUAGAUAUAGAAAUCGGAAUUAGGUACGUUGUGAUCCAUUUCAGCUACUGUUAGGGGUAAGAUUUGGGCUUGCUUGGCCCAAGGCCCAAAUCCAAGUCAAAGGCCUAAGCAGAAUGUUAAGUCAAGAGGGUAGGCUCGUCAAAAUCCUGGAGGAGUGUCCUACACGCAGAAGGCUAUAAAUACGGAAUAGCAUGUCUUGUCAAAGGGGGAUUCCGCCGGACACGCAGAGACACAGAGCAGCUCGUCAGCUCACCCGUCCG